CUUUUCUUUUUUUUUUUUUUUUUUACAAUACUCCUUAUGCUGGAUUCAUUUAUCUUGAAAUGGUGUGCUAUCCCAGCUGCAGAUAUCAAUCUGCAAUACAUCUCAGGCAAUUCAACUUUUGCUUGUUAUGUCAUGACUUCGCUUCUACAUUACUAGCAACACUUUUUAUGGGUCUCAUGAUGUUAUUCAAGGUUGAUAAUAUUACUCUAAACAUGGCUAAAAAUACACAAUAACCAUGAGAAAUCACUUUUUACUAUGGCAGGCAAAUUACUGGAGAGACAAAAUGGUCAUGCAGAGAUGAUGAGUAUCACAAGAUGUUUUAAGCAGAUACUCUCAACAUUUGAGCUCAUUGUAAUAGCAACAGGAGGUGGCUACAAAGUUAUUAGAGAAGUACAGUAUGUACUACAGUGAAUCUGAUGCAGUUAUGAUGUAAUACUGCAUCUUUACAUUUGCUUACAUUUCUUUCAAAUGUGAGUGGCCUGAUAGACAGUUUGUAAGUAUUUGUGUGUGUGAGUUUUGAUAAAUUUUAACUUUUUAAAAUGUGUGUGCAUAUUUUAUGAUAAUGAUACAAAAACAGUAGUAUCUACGUAUGUUUUAUACAUUCCUGUCAUACCUUUUUCUGAUUUUUUUCAGUAUUUUUAAACUACAUGGUUUGUGAGUUUUUUAAAUUGUUGCAAAACUCUAAAACAAUUUUCAAAAUAUUUAUUUUUAAAAAAACAUAUAAAUGGACUCAUGCAAUCCAAAUUUGUGAUUUUCAAAAGUCGGCUGUGUAUAUGUCCUAAUGAAGAUUUAUAGACUUUGAAGUUCAAUAAUAUUGAAUCUUGUUUUAAAUUUUACCUUUGUUUUUCUUUUACAUUUCUUAACUGCCCUGAGUUUUAGAUUGCUCAUGUUUAUGAAGAAGAUACUCAUUCCUUAGUUUGCUGUACAUUUUCAGAAAAAGAAACAAUGAGGAUAAAGCUCUUAGAACUUUGUCAGACACAAUAGGAGUGCAGAGGAGAAAAAAAAAUGUCUUUUUUACUACAUUCUGAGGUUCAGUUGCCGGGCUUGUACCGAUAAAUUAAUAAAAGGUAAAUUAAUAGCAUAAAAGUCUUAUGUGGCUCACACCUGUCAUCCUAGCACUUUGGGAGGCUGAGGUGGGUGGAUCAUGAGAUCAAGAGAUCAAGGCCAUCCUGGCCAACAUGGUGAAACCCGGUCUCAACUAAAAAUACAAAAACCAGCUGGCUGUGGUGGCGCGUGCCUGUAGUCCCAGCUACUUUGGAGGCUGAGGCAGGAGAAUCGCUUGAACCCAGCAGGUGGAUGUUGCAGUGAGCCGAGAUCAUGCCACUACACUCCAGCUGGGUGACAGAGCAAGACUCCAUCUCAAAAAAAAAAAGUCUUAUGUAUUUUAUUAAUAUUUUUAUGUAUAUGAGAGUAUCACCAAAAGAAGAAAAAACCUACAGAAGUAUUUGACUCAGAAACAUAUAUACCAUUUUAACAAAAAGUGAUAAACUGUGGAGAAUUGACUAGAGAAAAGAAAGGGAAGUUUGAACUUCUGAGGUUAGUAAAUUGUGGGAAGGUCAAUAUAUGUGGAAACCAAUUAAAGAAAAGGAUUAUUUUAAUAAUCUUUCUUUGUGCAGACUAAUUCCAGUACUAGCUUCCUGUCUUCUCAUGGUCACGCACCUCCUUGUAGACAGGAUUUGUGGCAGUCCUCAUUUCCUAGAAGUUUCUGCUUUUAGUAAGACAAGGAAGGUCCCAGAGGUUUUUUUCUCUAUCUUUUGAUUCUCAGUUACCUUCAGCUCAAAAUAAUUUAUAUAUUAAGGUGACAUAUUUUAAGGUAGCAUGUUCUGAUAUUUUUUACUUCAAUUGAAUUUAAUUUUAAUAUAUGCUAAUGUGAUACCACCAUAUAAUUAUUUUAAUAUAUUUUCUCUGAUUAUCAAAAGGAAUUAAUUUUUUUUUUCACUCUGUCAUCCAGGCUGGAGUGUAGUGGUACGAUCUUGGCUUACUGCAACCUCCACCUCCUGGGUUCAAGCGGCCCUGUCAUCUCAGCCUCCUGAGUAGCUGGGGUUACAGAGCUCCUUUCUGACAACUUGCAAUUGAUCCAACAUUUGAAACCUUAUGCAGGAGCCGGACAGCUUGGUUUUGAAUUAUAAUCUUACAAAUUACUGGCUGUGUGUUAAAUCUUUAAAUUACUGGCUGUGUGACUUUGUGUAAGUACCUUCACUUCUCUGUGCCUUAGUUUAUGUUAUGUAAAAGGUAUGAUAAUAGUAUCUAUCUUGGAAUUUAGUUUUUAAAUAUAAAAUUUAUAUAUCUACAACAGCUGAAUAAGUGUUAUCUAUCUUUAUUACCAUUGCAAUUAUUAUUAUAAUUAUUUGUAUAUGUCGGGCUCAUAAAGCUCUUAGCUUUGCAAAACUGUCUGAGAAAGUUUGCUUUUCUUUGCAUUCAUUGGGAAAUUAACUUUUCUACACAAUAAUGUUUUUAAGGCAUGGACCUGUAAAAUGUUUAAUUGGUGUGGCUUCAAAGUAUAGAAAUUGUAAAGUAGGAAAUAAUUAUACACAACUAUCAAACCAAUAAUAAAGGUCAAUAAAUAUUCAAA